GUGUAUUGUUGUUGUCUCUGUGAACUCACGCUGUGUAUUGAUGUUGUGAUUUUACGUUCUGGAAAUUUGGGUUCUUUUGUGAAGGAGGAAUGGAUUUGGGCCGGGUUGGGGAAAAGGGAGUGGGUUGGGCGUUUCUUUGGACAUUGCUGUAAGUUUGGUGGGCUGGAUUAUUGCUGAAGGAAUGGGAAUAGGGAACUGUGGGCUAUAGGUUUGCUGGAAAAGUUGAAGAAAAGGCCCAAAAUUUUGGUCUUAAAAUGGUUUUAAGGUGAGGUUAAAGAUGGGUUAGAUCUUGGAGUUUAAGAAAUAGCCGAAUUGAG
rnacentral:lncRNA from 1 species